rnacentral:rRNA from 1 species
AGCGAACGCUGGCGGCAGGCUUAACACAUGCAAGUCGAACGGGCAUCUUCGGAUGUCAGUGGCAGACAGGUGAGUAACACGUGGGAACGUACCCUUCGGUUCGGAAUAACUCAGGGAAACUUGAGCUAAUACCGGAUACGCCCUUUUGGGGAAAGGUUUACUGCCGAAGGAUCGGCCAGCGUCUGAUUAGCUUGUUGGUGGGGUAACGGCCUACCAAGGCGACGAUCAGUAGCUGGUCUGAGAGGAUGGUCAGCCACACUGGGACUGAGACACGGCCCAGACUCCUACGGGAGGCAGCAGUGGGGAAUAUUGGACAAUGGGCGCAAGCCUGAUCCAGCCAUGCCGCGUGAGUGAUGAAGGCCUUAGGGUUGUAAAGCUCUUUUGUCCGGGACGAUAAUGACGGUACCGGAAGAAUAAGCCCCGGCUAACUUCGUG